rnacentral:rRNA from 1 species
AAUCAACGCUGGCGGCGCGCUUAACACAUGCAAGUCGAACGAGAAAGCCGGGGCAACCUGGUGAGUAAAGUGGCGUACGGGUGAGUAACACGUGGAUCAUCUACCCUGGAGUGGGGAAUAACGCUGGGAAACCGGCGCUAAUACCGCAUAAUCCCGAGAGGGCAAAGGAAGCAAUUCCGUUUCAGGAGGAGUCUGCGGCCGAUUAGCUUGUUGGCAGGGUAAAAGCCUACCAAGGCAUCGAUCGGUAGCCGGCCUGAGAGGGCACACGGCCACACUGGCACUGAAACACGGGCCAGACUCCUACGGGAGGCAGCAGUGGGGAAUCUUGCACAAUGGGGGCAACCCUGAUGCAGCGACGCCGCGUGAGCGAUGAAGCUCCUCGGAGUGUAAAGCUCUUUCGGCAGGGAAGAUUAUGACGGUACCUGCAGAAGCAGCUGC